GAAGAAGAAGAAGAAGCAAAUUGUUGGGUGCCACUGCUGCCCAUCUACCACCCUAGCUAGAACUGCUAUUGCUUCUCCUAUACCUGCUGCCAAAGAAACCUUAGGGCUACUACACUGUUGCCCUACCAAAAGACUGCUUACUUGUAUUGGAGGCUGGACAGAUGUAAAGGGGAGGUUGCUGCUGCCUCUGCAUCACCCGAGCCUUAGGUUAUGGAGGACUACUACACCUGGGUACGGAGUACUAUAUCCAUAGAGCGCACAAUAUGGAUCCGAUGUGGGGAGGGAGAUUCUGGUAUCGUGAUCGUCAUGUGAAUGAUUGCAUCAUGCAUUAACGUGCAUUAGAGCUACAUAUGACUAUGAAUACGUGGUGUGGCCAUAUUAAUUUCGAUACCGUGUAUCCCAUACUAAACUAUAUGGAUGCUAGAUAAGUUUGGAUAUGGAUGCGAUGUGGCUGAUAGUAAUUCUGAUAUCGUAUUCCAUACUACCUAUAUCACUACGAAAGGAAUGUAGAUUAUUGUGAUGAUGAUGCAAAUAUUGUCAUGCCAAUGGGUAGCAACGCCUCCUCCUCCAUAGUUGAGUAUCGUGGUGAAUGGUGGACACUAGAUCUUGAGGAGCAUGAUCCAGAUUGUGAUUGCAAUACUUGUGUGUAUGUUGCAUCUUGAGUUGAGGGUGAAUCUGCCAACUUCUCAGGUGUCGUAUUUUUUGAUGAUAAAUUGUAGGACAAUAUAAUAAUGUCUUGAUGAACUUUUGUGAAGGAUAAAUCACUAUUACAUAAUAUCUUAAAACUUAACUUC